rnacentral:pre_miRNA from 1 species
AAAGUACUCCCUCCAUUCGGAAUUACUUGUCACAAAAAUGGAUGUAUCUACAACUAAAAUACAUCUAGAUACAUUCAUUUCUUGGACGAGUAAUUUCGAACGGAGGGAGUAGUAA